rnacentral:rRNA from 1 species
GACGAACGCUGGCGGCGUGCUUAACACAUGCAAGUCGAACGGUAAGGCCUUCGGGUACACGAGUGGCGAACGGGUGAGUAACACGUGGGUGAUCUGCCCUGCACUUUGGGAUAAGCCUGGGAAACUGGGUCUAAUACCGGAUAGGACCAUGGACUUCACGGUUUGUGGUGGAAAGCUUUUGCGGUGUGGGAGGGGCCAGCGGCCUAUCAGCUUGUUGGUGGGGUAAUGGCCUACCAAGGCGACGACGGGUAGCCGGCCUGAGAGGGUGUCCGGCCACACUGGGACUGAGAUACGGCCCAGACUCCUACGGGAGGCAGCAGUGGGGAAUAUUGCACAAUGGGCGCAAGCCUGAUGCAGCGACGCCGCGUGGGGGAUGACGGCCUUCGGGUUGUAAACCUCUUUCAGUAGGGACGAAGCGCAAGUGACGGUACCUACAGAAGAAGCACCGGCCAACUACGUGCCAGCCGCCGCGGUAA